rnacentral:lncRNA from 13 species
UAUAAGGGAUUUUCUUUCUAAAGUAAAAAAAUCUGAAAACAAAGCAAAGGAUAGUUAAAACAUGUUGAAUUAAAUUAUUACAAUGAAACACAUGAAAUACAUUAAAAUAUGGAGUCUUCAUCUGUGUCUUAAACUAAGUAGACCCCAAACUAUUUAAAUUCUUCACAGAGGAUCUUAUUGUUCCAAGUUCCCCCACAAGUACCAUCACAGGUACUAUCACAGGUACCAUCACAGGUACUAUCACAGCACAGGCACCAUCACAGGUACUAUCACAGGUACUAUCACAGGUACCAUCACAGGUAC